rnacentral:lncRNA from 1 species
AUGUCCCAUUUAAUUCUAAUCACUUGUAGUUCUUAUAGCCUUGAUCUCCAAGGAUUUCCCAACAUGACUCAGCUCAAUCUUCAAAGAGGUGAAGAAGGUUUGGCAGCAGUUUGCAGUCAGAGGAACAGGCCUGUUGCAGUGCAGAACCAGCAGAGACCAGGAGUCCUGAAAGUCAAUCCCUGUGGUGCUCAUGUUGGACAAGUGCAGUAUGGAGGAACCAGUGAGGCAGGUGAAGGCCAGGGAAGCAGCAAUUGCACACACCUUUGAGGAGGGACUCGGUGGCUCAGGACAGGGAGCCUUGGCCUCAUUCAAAAGAACUGCCUUUGGAGACAUUUAGAAGAACAAUACCCAAGAAAUCUUUGUGUAAAGAGCAGACCAGGCAGCUGAAGAGAUGCCACAGGAUUUCAGAGGAUCACCACAUCUUUGCAAGUCCUUCAGCUGAACAAGCCUACCUUUUGAACAGUUGAAUCCAGGUGGGUUUACUGGAAGCUCCAAAAGUGUAGCUCAAGGCCUUCCUCCAGGUGGGACUCCACAGUGAUUC